GUGGUUUGAAAGUUUUUCUUAAGAGAUCUGUCGUAUCACAUUGGUAGAAAUACAUUUUUGAAACUGAAAAAUUGAUAGUUAAAUAAUUGGAAGUCAGACAAUGUGCAGGCGUUUGCUUGUACAUCUUUAAGGGACUCAUCCCUUUCCUAUAAGCCUGUCUAAUGAAAUAGACGUGCUAAGUUUUUAUUUUAAAGUAAUGCCUUGCAGUCUGUUGCAACACAGCCUGAAUAAUUACAGGAGAGUCCCGCCUCAGACAAGGCAAAUAGCCAAUCAUAUUUAGGAUUUUUUUUGGUGGCACCUAGGGUGGCCAAUCAGAUUUCGGGGGGGGGGGGGGGGGGGGGCAAUGCCACCCCUGGCUCACCCUUCUAGACACGUCCCUGGGCACAGCUAAAGAAUUAGAACAAGGAUGUUGUCACUCUUCCUUUUCCGUGGAUUUCCUUGGUAAUCAGGGGCUGAGGGCCAGUUGUAGAACCUAAGUUGAAAUUUAGAGUUCAAACUAGUCUCAAGGAUGCAAAAAAACCAGCAACAUUGAUAUGCAUAGCACAACCAGUCCUCUGUCAAAAGGAAUUUUGAGAUUACGUGGAUUCCUGGGUAAAACAUUUGAGUUGUUAGAUGGUGACCACAACAACACUCUGUUAGUCUAUUCUACAUUAUCACACAAGUUCCCACAUAUUGAAUGCCUAGAACAGUUAACCUGAUAUUUCUUGCAGACAGAGCCCAAUUGUUGCAUGAUUACUUGGGAUAUAGAAGUAGAGAUAAUAACUUUUAUGUCAGAAAAGUCGGAACAUUAAUUGUGCAAAACCAGAUAUGAGUUAAACUUUUGAAACUUGUCCUUUAAAGGUCAUGUAUUAUGCAAAAUACACUUCACAAUGUUUCUCUAACAUUAAUAUGUGUCUCUAGUCUGUCUACAAACCCCCCAAUUAUGAGAAAAGUCUAUCCUCUCCAUCUUUUGCCUGCUCCACUGUUCAGAAAAUGUGUGCUCAAACAGGCCGUUUGGAGAUUUUCCCUUUGUGACAUCACAAAGGGCAGUAACCCCUCCCCCAGGUGGGUGACACUCCCACAGCUAGGUGUUUGUUCUGCCCUCUGAGUCUGCCUUCUCACCAUAAACAAUAGGGCAUAGAGCGAGAAAGCCACCCAAGUCCUUCCAGACAGGGGGCAUGGUCAGACACAGCUCAUUUACAUAUUUAAAGGUACAGACACAGAAACAGCCUGUUCUGAGCAGGGCUGAAAUAGAGGGGUUUAUAGGCAUGAUCAAAUACAGGAUCAGAGUGGACUUAGAACAACAAACUUCACAGACAUGUUUUGGGGAGCUCUGAGAGUUAUUUUAACUAGUUUAAAAGGAGGAUAAUAUGUGACCUUUAAAAACUGUCUUCACAAAUGUCCCCGUUUUAUAUGAAGUAAUUUAUCUGACAGGAAAUGUCGCCAAAACUACAAGACAGGGAAAAUAAAAAGACAUAAAGGGAAACUACAGAUUUCUCAAAGAUUCCCCCCUUUUGGACAAACCUAUACAAACAACUUGAUGGAUAAAGUGAACUGCUUGUCUUAUCAGGGCUUAAAAACUAAACAGGAAAACAAUAGGCUUCUACAGGACAUAGAAAAGUAGCAUUGUCCUCUCUCCUCAUGGCUGAAUAUUGUGCCUUUACCAAGAUUCUCAAUAUUUUCACAGGGUUAAACUUAACUUCUAUCUAGCGAGUAGAAUUGAACAACAGGUCAUCUUGUACUUUUUUUAGGAUUAAGGAGAACCAGAGACAGACGUGGACUCUUAAAGAUCUUUUCUGAGGCUCUACAGUACAGUACCAUUAUCUAAGCGUAGAUUGUAGUAAGACAUUCCAGCAUUAUGAUGACAAUCUUUCGAAAAUUCAAUGCUGAAAAAUAAUCUCCUGCAAGGUCUCCGUGAUGUAAGUGAUGCUGUUUCUGGAGCAGAGAGCGGAAGCAGCGGACAAAACAACAAAAACAAGUCGGCUUUCUUCACAACAAAGGACCCGGAGCAGAUGGACACAUGAAUUCUGUGGACGGGUGAGCUAAUGGAAGCCCUGAAAACCCAGUUUGCCCAGCGGCUGUAAAGGGGGGGAGGACGUGUGCUGGACUCGUAUUGUGUAAAAUUACUGUACAAUUUUUUCUCUCAUGCUCUAUAUGUGCUCUCAAGUGGAAUGGGGUGUGGGUGUGUUUGCAUGUGUGUGUCUUUCUGCUUGCUUACAGGCCAACAUAAGACACUGUGCAGGACUGGUUGUAUGAAUGUGUGUGAGAGUGUGAGUGUGUGUGUGAGAGAGAGAGAGAGAGAGAGAGAGUGUGUGUGUGUGUGUGGGAGAGAGAGAGAGAGAGAGAGAGAGAGAGUAUGUGUGUGUGGGAGAGAGAGAGGGAGCGAGAGAGAGAGUGUGUGUGUGGGAGAGAGAGAGGGAGCGAGAGAGAGUGUGUGUAUGGGAGAGAGAGAGUGUGUGUGUGUGUGUGUGGGAGAGAGAGAGAGUGUGUGUGUGUGUGUGUGGGAAAGAGAGAGAGUGUGUGUGGGAGCCUAUGGAUGUGUGUGAAAGGGAGGAAACACAAAAUAUAAAUUCUUUGUGUCAACUUAUAGAGACGUCAAAGAAUUUAGAGUUUAAAUAAAAUUGCUGACAGCUCUACCGACAACACUAA